rnacentral:rRNA from 1 species
GCCCUGGUAGUCCACGCUGUAAACGAUGUCGACUUGGAGGUUGUGCCCUUGAGGCGUGGCUUCCGGAGCUAACGCGUUAAGUCGACCGCCUGGGGAGUACGGCCGCAAGGUUAAAACUCAAAUGAAUUGACGGGGGCCCGCACAAGCGGUGGAGCAUGUGGUUUAAUUCGAUGCAACGCGAAGAACCUUACCUACUCUUGACAUCCACGGAAUUCGCCAGAGAUGGCUUAGUGCCUUCGGGAACCGUGAGACAGGUGCUGCAUGGCUGUCGUCAGCUCGUGUUGUGAAAUGUUGGGUUAAGUCCCGCAACGAGCGCAACCCUUAUCCUUUGUUGCCAGCACGUAAUGGUGGGAACUCAAAGGAGACUGCCGGUGAUAAACCGGAGGAAGGUGGGGAUGACGUCAAGUCAUCAUGGCCCUUACGAGUAGGGCUACACACGUGCUACAAUGGCAUAUACAAAGAGAAGCGAACUCGCGAGAGCAAGCGGACCUCAUAAAGUAUGUCGUAGUCCGGAUUGGAGUCUGCAACUCGACUCCAUGAAGUCGGAAUCGCUAGUAAUCGUAGAUCAGAAUGCUACGGUGAAUACGUUCCCGGGCCUUGUACACACCGCCCGUCACACCAUGGGAGUGGGUUGCAAAAGAAGUAGGUAGCUUAAC